CCGGCGCACGGGUGAGUAACACGUAUGCAACCUGGCCGUCACAGGUGGAUAACCGGAAGAAAUUCCGACUAAUACAGCAUAACACUCCUGAGGGACAUCCUUCGGGAGUCAAAGGAGGCAACUCCGGUGACGGAUGGGCAUGCGGCGCAUUAGGUAGUUGGUAGGGUAACGGCCUACCAAGCCGACGAUGCGUAGGGGUUCUGAGAGGAAGGUCCCCCACAUUGGAACUGAGACGCGGACCAGACUCCUACGGAAGGCAGCAG
rnacentral:rRNA from 1 species